rnacentral:tmRNA from 1 species
GGGGAUGCACCGGUUUCGACGGGGUCGAAGAGGCGUGCACUGCAGGCGGAGGAUUCUCGUUGGCCUCCUUAAAAAACGAGAAAUUUUAAAUUAAACGCUAACGACAAUUUAGCACUUCAGGCUGCCUAAGCCGGCCUGCGCCUCCUGUAGGGUUCUCCGAGCCUUGCAGGUAAGGUGUCAGUAACUCGGACCUUUCGCAUUACGGUUAAAUGCGACUCCCGUACGGCCAAUGCCUUGCGGCCGUAUGGUACUUAUCAGGCUACCGCCGAAAAAGAUUUGUUUAAUUAAGCUCUCGGCGGGAAACUGAAAUUAAACUAAGCUUGUAGACGUACACGAGGAUUCGGUUUCGGACGUGGGUUCGACUCCCUCCAUCUCCACCA